rnacentral:rRNA from 1 species
AUGCACGCUGACAGAAUGCUUAACACAUGCAAGUCUUUGGCGAAGCUGUGCUUGCACAGCCUAGCCAAGGCGGACGGGUGAGUAACGCGUAAGGAACUUGCCCUGCAGUCAGGGAUAACAGACGGAAACGACUGAUAAGACCUGGUAAAGUCAGGCGGACUCAUGUCCAGCCUGAUGAAAAGAGAUGCUGCAGGAGAGCCUUGCGUCCUAUUAGCUUGUUGGUGGGGUAACGGCCACCAAGGCGAUGAUAGGUAGCCGGCCUGAGAGGGUGGACGGCCACAAGGGGACUGAGAUACGGCCCUUACUCCUACGGGAGGCAGCAGUGGGGAAUAUUGGACAAUGGGGGCAACCCUGAUCCAGCAAUUCUGUGUGCACGAUGAAGGUUUUCGGAUUGUAAAGUGCUUUCAGCAGGGAAGAAAAAAUGACGGUACCUGCAGAAGAAGCGACGGCUAAAUACGUG